UGGGCCUAGCCUCUGUUUGAUUAUAAGUUUGGCUGCCAAACAUGGUGGAAGGGCAGGGAAGAAGGCUAUAGCUCAGAUAAGCCAGACAAUAGACAAGCAGUGUUGCUGACCAGUGUUACUCAUUAUACCUGCUAUUACUUCUUGGUUACACCUGCAGGAUGGGAUGGAUAUGUCUGGACUAGCUCUGAGAAGAACAGCUUGAGCAUUAGAAGCUGUAACGGGCUGAUCGCACCAAGUGACUGCCCUUUUUGGACACUUUCAUUGGGAGCUUGUCUGCCCCCUUCUCCAUAGCAUUGCCCUGUCUCUGUAGGCACAUGUUUCUUUCUGCUUGCAAAAGCAGAAUGGUGUUUAGUUCUGCUUAUGCCUCAUAAAACAAAAAGAGAUCCUGGACCCAAGGAUGCUACUGUGAUAGCCAUAAAUGUUCUUACUGGAGGCCACAUUAAACCAAAGUUUUUCCCGGUGUUUGUUGAGGUGUGACUCUCUGGCUUUGCUUCUAGGUCCUAUAUGAGCACAAGUCCUAACCUGCUACCAUGUUGUUUGAAAACAGCCACCACAGACUCUUCUGUGGAUGCCAAGAAAUGUUAUUUUGCAGAUGCCAUUUCACUGUCUUGAAAUGCAAAGUCAUGAUGGGAAGGUAUGAAGCAAGAGUUGUUUUGUUACUGUGCAUGCUUCUGGUACUGAAUGCUAGGGGUUUGCCUCAUGUAACUGUGGGCUAAAGGGAGUUCAUCCACAUCAGAACUUGGUGAACCUUGCUGGUAGUUUUCUCUGUUGUUUCCUCUGAGUAGCAGCAUGCAAUGGUGGCAGAACACAAAGGAGUUAAAUCUGUGAAGUUUUAACUCCUUUGUGUAGCAGUUUUUACUGCCCAUCAUAGAGUCACCAGCAAGCAGAAUAUACCACUUUCAUGUUCUGUGAGGGGAAAAUAUUUCAGCAGCUGGGAAAAGCACACUCACUUGGUAUUUGAUAUGCAAUAUGCAAUAGUGAUAACCAAUGCAAUAGUGAUAACGUGGAGUUACAAUCGAAAUGUGUUCACGAAUUGCUUUUUUGAUGGUUACACACAUGCAACAUCCGCUGGAUGCCAGUAGCUGCUGAACAUCUAACUUUACCUAUGCCCGAGGUAACAAAACUUGCUGUAACAUCUAUCUCCCAACAAAUAUGGCAAACAGAAUUUGAAGGUUGUUAGGUCGUGGGCUAUUUCUGCUGUUCAUUCUUAUCAGACAGAAAUGUGAGGCUAAGAUCCAACAUGGCUGAUGCUUUCAUCCUUUGGAUACCAAAGUUAAUAUUACAAUUUUUGGGGGGGAGGGGGGAAGAGAUACCAUUUUAUAUCUGUGUGGGUGUAAUUGGUGCUUUUUUUGUCUCCUACCUGAACUCAGACCCCUAAGGAUUACAUUUUUGUUGUUGACUCCUUUUUCUCAGCUGAACUUAAACAGCAUCAGUGCUGAGCCCUUAUGGCUUGAUCCAAAAUCAGCACAAAGGGAUAAGAUAUUUUUAGAAAACUUCUUUUUAACUUUAAUGUUUGUGGUGUCUUUUCACAGAGAAUUUGCAAUGAUUUAGUAGCAUUCUUAUAACUAGCAUGAUCUAGCUAGCUUUGUAGAGAGAUGUAAUAAAAAGAAAAGGCAAAAUUACAUAGUCUUGGGAACAAGAAAACAGAGGCUCUAAAGUACACCAGAAGGCUGAGAAAAGUCUGUUUCUUCCCCAUUAUGUCAGCUGGUUUAAUAAGAAGCAUAAUUUCUCUAUAACAUCUGCCUUGGAUAUAAUCCCUGCAAUUUAACAGGAGAAGACACAUGUUACAGUAGGAUGUCUUGGAACAUCCUUUUUGGAUUUCUUUCCAGAACUAUAAUUUCCCAUUUCUUUGUUUAUAUGAGUAUCCCUGGGAAGGAAAAAGCCUGACCUUCAUUUACAAAUGAAUAAUUGAUUAAGUAUCUGAGCAAUAAUAUAAAAAAAGCCCAAACCAAACAAAAGAAAAGAAAAAAGAAAGAAAAAGGCACAAUGCAUAUUUUGAUGACUAGUUCAACAGCAAAUCCAGAGUCUCUCUUGCCAGGUAUGUGUCAUUCUAAUCUCACUCUGUUGUCCCCCAAAGGAUCAGUUGGGUUUGUAAAUGCACACAAAUAUUGGACAGUGGAAGACUCUCUUACAAAUCCAACCCCUCUAACUUUUGUUCUCAGUACGUGUCAGCCAGGAUCAGCAGACUGUGACAAGCCCUUUCAAUGCCUUCAUUUUUCUCUUCCAUUUCAGGGUUGUCUUUUUAAGCCUUUUUUGGUUUUGCUGUAACGUGAUGUUAAUUCUAUUAUAAGUCAAAAUGUUGACAGGCGUAUGCUUCCUCUGUAGGUUUAGAGCUUGUGGGUGAAUAGCAUGUCUCUGUGCCACAUUUAGCUUUGUGCUUUGCUGGAACAGACUGUUCCAAUACAUCAGUUUUUUUCUCCUAGACCUCACCUUUCUGCCCAUAUGAAAUGCAAGCUGCUUGCUGUUUCAUAUCUUGCUCCUUUAUAAUGAGCUAUUUUUUUCCCUACACUGUCUUCUUCCUACUGUCACACCUUUUCUACACCUUCAAGCAGGAAAUGGAUCUCUUCAAGCCAAGUGCUAUGUCUGAUUGCUGCUGUGUACUUAGGUUAACUAUGGUGCUCUAGUUGCCUGAGGUCCCUGGAGAAGACCAUGGAUACCAAGGAGAUGACCAUAUUUCCCAGGGAACUGAGAGGCAUUGAAUUUACAUCCCAUGUUUUGAUGCCAGACUCUGGAAGGAAAUUCUAGACAUUUCUUGAUGUCUCUGUUUUCUUGUAAGCAAGAGCUGCAGUUGCCAUGGAUAUGUUUUGAGAUCUUAAAUGGAAGCAAAAGAGGAUGAGAAGGCGUGUACCGUGGUGCAGCCUGUGCAUUUAGCCAACAGUCAUUUCAGAUGUAGACAGUUAGACCCCAACUCGGAAAUCUGAAGUCCAGACUUAUCUACUGAAGGGGCAGAAAGAACCCGGACAAACAGCAAAGAAGGAUUGGUUGAACAUGAUUUGUGAGUGCCUACCAGUAGUGAAUGCAGCUCAAGAAUCAGGAGUCAGUGGACCUGCUGCUCAUGCAGCAUCACUUCCUAUAACUGGGAGCAGACCCCAGUCCUGGAAUACCUUGCAUCACACCCACUGUGUGCUGCUACUGGAACAGAAAGCACAGUCAAAUGAAACGAAACAGCACAACUGAAUGUCCUCUCCCUAUUUAUAAUUCUGUUCAAGGGAACACAAUGUUUUUCCUGGAAAAGAACCAUCUUAAAACUCUUGGGUGGAAUAAGAAAAGUGCAUGUGCGUUUUCCAAACCAUCUCCAGAUUCAAGUGUUAAUGUGGGAAUAGAUUUGGACUGAAAAUACCCAUUAAUUUAAUUUUUGGCAGGCAAAAGGCAGCUACCUGAGAGGCAACAUAGGUAGUUAGGGCUCUUGAAGAAGUGCCUGCAGACUUGAUCUGUGAUUUGUGCAGCUGGCUGGACCAUCAGAGGUGUACAUAUUGCUACAUUUUUCCCAGUAGCACCAGACUUUUUGGUGCUUAGUUCUCUUUUGUAACCAUGUUUAUAGUUGAUGUUCUUAGAACAAAAAAUGUUUUUUGAAGAGCUAGACCUGCACAUCUUUAGAUGUAUUUUCAGGCAUUGAAGAAGGGCAUGGAUAAAUAGCCAUGAUUUUCUUAACAGGUGUAUUGAUGUGCUAGGAGUUUAAGAGUUUUCCUGUUUUCUCCACAAAAUGCAUUCACAUUGCUUUGUUUAUUAUUUUGUCCAAGUACCUGCCUUGCUUAUUCUCUUUGUACUCUGAGUUGGGAACACAUCUCUGCAGGAAACACAAAUUAUAGAGUGGAAUUUAUUGAUAUAGAUGUUUCAUGAUAGGUUCACAUUCAUGUUCUUAAAAAUGAGAGAUUAAGGCUUUGAGUUUUUUAUCUUCCAAAGCACUAAAUGAAGCGCUUACAUUUCACAUUUUAUUCUUCUAUGAAAAGCAAAAUCUCCAUAGGAUUUGCAAUAGUCUUAUUUCUUUUCUUUCAAUGCUGUUUGAUGCCCUGUGAGAAAUUUUGCCUUUGCUAAAAACAGCAGUGGACUCUCAUCUUCAGUGACAGUGGGGUUUAUCCCUGCUGUGUUGGGAUAUUUAGAUGUUAGCUUGAUAAACAGGUUGUGUAAUUCUGAAUUGCCUAAGCUCUUGUUCCCACAUAAGGCUUCAGGUUUAUAUAAUUAUCCUAUUUGUAAGUUUUUUUCUAGAGAAGAACAACUUCAUGCCAUGAUGAUGGUGCAUUUUCCAUCUCUGGACUCCUGUGGAUGAGCAGUGAGGCCUGACAGAAACAUUCCAUGGCAGCUAGUGGGCUCUGUUUAAUAGACUGGAUCUAGUUUCCUAGUACAGCCUUUGAAGCUGGGGACACGGUCUGGAAAGCCUACCCUCAGUGCCUUGUUGAGAUCUGUUUUUUCAGUGAGUGGAUACCAUUUCACCUCUGAGAUGCCCCAAAUGCCAGUGAUGACUCCUUGCUUUGGAGGGUGUUGGCGGUGAGCCCAGGCCUCUGAUUUCAGAUGAGCCUGACAGAUUUCUCUGAUUUAAUUUGGAAUGGUGCCUCCUUUGGCACAAAUCAUUACAGAAGAUAAUUUUCUGUUGGAGAAACAAGCUGUGCCUGGUACACUCUCCUAAAACUAUGCUCAUGCUGAUCUAUCUUCUCCUCUUCCAUUACCAUGGAUAUUAGGCAGGCCCUUGAAACUCCUGGCCUUUCACUCACCAACAUAUCCUGGAAUCUUUUAGGGUUGUUGUGCUUUGGGAAGGACGAAAUCACUCAGGGAUCCUGUAGACACCAUGUGUCCCUGUGUUCUUGUCCCUGCCCCUCUCCCCAGUGUCCCCCCAUGACUCCCUCUCUCCCUUCUGUCCCAGUUCUUUGCCUACUACUCCUUCUUGAUGUGUUCUAGCCAUUGCUGGAGCAUCACCUGAUGCCCCAACCCCACCAAAUCUCCCUGCUCCCCUGGGCCAUGCAAAGGUGACACUGAGUCUGGGUUCAGCCCACAGCAGGAAGUGCAACCAUGGCUGGGUCAGUGUCUCCAGCAUCACCACCACAUCCUAAAUGCAAGGAAUGCUGAGGACUCCAGCAGCUAAGGUACUGAUGAGCCACAGAGACUCCCAGGACCACGUCAUUUGGGUAUGCCAGGGACCCCAUCAUUUGGGGCACCCACCUCACCUCUGGGGACUCAGCUGUGCAGCUCAGUUUUAACAGUGUGUCUAUUUAUAAAAAAACUUGAUGUUGCAUAGAAAAAAGUGAUCUUUGUAAAUACUUAGUUGAAAAAUGUUUCUGUGUGCCACAUAUAGUAUAUAUUUGACUCACUGCAUUCACUAAUAAGUUUUGCCAGCAAAUGGACAAAGUCUUCUGUGUGAAUUAAGGAACUGUCAGAUUUCCACCAGAUGAAUAGUUACGAAACUGAGGAUAUAUGUGCUGCACUAUUUAAUACAUAAUAAAAUUCUUUGAUGAAUAUGUGAGCUAAGAUUGAGGCUGCUAAUUUAAUCACUAACAACAGAGUAUAUGCAUGUGGAAAAUAAUGCUUUUGCAUUGAAACUUUCAUCGUCGCUAAUUUUUCCAUGCAGUUAUUAUUCAUGCAGGGAUCCAAAAAAGACUGUUUACCUGGAGGCAGGAACAAAACUGCGAAAGCUUUAGAGGCAGCUGGGCAGAGAGUUGUGGUUCUCACUUUGCUGACAGAAAAAAAGUGAUUUCUUAUGGGAGCAGAAUCUGUGACGUUUUAUUGGAAAAAUCAGUCAGCUGGAAAACUCUUGAUCAGUCAUACCCUAGGUGUUACCUCAACUGGUUCUGCACAUCUUAUUUCCCAACUCCCAGUACCAGUUUCAGGUGUUGGAAGGAGGACUGUGACUCUGCUGGCCAGUCCUGCACCUCCAGCGCACUGAUGGCUACUUAAAAUGGCUGCUGAUUUCUCCAAAACAGAUUGUAUGGUUUUGUAUGAAUGAUACACUUGCUGCAGGUUGAAUAAAUUUUGUGUACACUGGUGUCAAGAGACAGAAAGAAUAAAUAGCCUCUAAGCAGACAGAAGGCUAUAUUUAGGUCUAGGCUGAGUAUGCCCUCUGCCUGCCAAAUGCAAAAAAUCCAAACCAAAAUGCUUUGUUUCCUGCUGGAGGCUUACAUAUAAUUUUUUCCUCCUUGUGUUUCAAAACUUUCCAACAUGGUUACAGCCUAGUGUCAGGCAGCUGCACAGUCCUUUCUCUGUGAUAGCCCUGAGAGCAUGUGAUGUGACACUGUCAGAGCCAUGGAGCACUAAUGUGGGCCCUCACUGUCCCUGCCCAGCCUCUCCUGGGGCUUCUCCUUAGCCCAACCCAUGGAUCUGUAUCGCACUUGAGUCCCUGGUGCCAUAGGAAGCUGAUCUCCAGCUCUGCAGACAUGGCUAUGCCAAGCCUGGCCUGAUCUGCGUGCUGACAUUCUGGCUGGCCUAAGCCCAGUUCCAUCCCCAAGGCCCUGCCCAGCCAUCCUGGAGCUAUGUCUGCUCCUGGUUCCCUGCUCCAGACCUGAACCUGACCCCACCCAUGGGGAUACAUCCUGUCCUGGUGUUGUCCUAUCCCCAUGCCCAGGGAGUUGUCUGAUGGCUGGAGCUGCCCCCAGACUUCCCUGGUGCCUGGCUGGGGUGGUAGGACAGGUACCCCAGGGAACACCCACUGUCUCUGGCCUUCACAGGGCCCUGACACAUGGUGUUCAACCUUACAAAUACCACCACGGAAAGACCCCUUUCACCAUUUCAGCUAAGAAAGGUUAAUCCAGAAAGAUCUUGGGCUAAAGGGUACAGAAAGGACUUCUAUGACUCCCUCUUGAUGAUUUUUUCUCAAGAGCACAAGACUGCCCUUUAAAGAGGCAGUGGGUCUCAGAGCAGCAUGCCUGUGUCACAGCAGAGUAUAGAGGUUCCUGAGCUAGUUUUAAGUGAACUGCUCUGGAUAUCACAGAGGAAUCCAGCUGUGGGACUUCAGCAUGGGCUAAAUUUACCCUGCUUCUCUGCACUGUGCCCUUACUCUGGUUUAGAGGUUUGACAAAUUGUUGGCAGGUCUGAACACUUCAGGAACAGCCUGGCAUUAAUCCCAGGUUCAAAUAGGAAGUAAAGACUGCCAAAAGACAUUGGGAAAAGAAAAAGAGCUGCUUCUCACCAGCGCUUGGAGGACUUCAACCUUUCAAGAGGAGGUUCUGAGCUCCUGAUGAGAGCAGACUUUCGUAAACUGUGUUCCAGUUUUACAAUUGUAUAGUCAGGCCAGAUCUUUUGUUCCCAGAACUUCUGAAGUUGCUAAAAAAAAUCAGUUAUUGAAAGCCUCUUUUUUUCUCCCCUUUUGCCAAGACUGAGUCUUCUUAAGUAAUGCUGAGCCUGUGCACUGUGCUCUAUCAGGAGUGAAACUGCAGCUUAUCAUGAAAUGGAGAACCACAGCGUACACCUUUGUGGGGAAGACAGUUGGAGAGAUAGGAGAGCAAUUUCCCCUUCUGUGUAUUGCCUCCUUCUCUGUGCAGACUAUGCAUAGAUAUCAGAGGAAAACUACCAAAUCCAUAAGCCCAAACUGUUUGGAAACACAUUGUAUCAUGACAGUCAGGUUGCUCAGGUCCCAUUUAAUGCCCAGCACAAAGUAAAGCUUCAUGGCCUGUUGUUUCAAAAAAGGGUAGUUUAUUUUAAAUCUUUCAGUACAUGACUGAUUCACUGGGUCAUCUGUGUUUUGAAUGCAGCAGAUUCUGUCAUGUGGGUAUGUGUGUAUAUGGUGUAUACAUGAGUGAGGAAAGCUAGGGGUGACUAACUACUUCCACUUCUCAUUUCUAUGAACUAGAGAUCUGAACAUAGAGAUAUAUAUAACCUGAAGCUAAGAAUGCAGUAAAUACUGGAUGGUGAGAUUAGAAGUUUUUUAUAUAACCCAAUGGAGAAGUAACAAAGAGUUUUUCUACAGCCAAAUACUUAUUUCCAGUAUCCAGCAGAAUGCAAGUCUCCUAUCUGAACUGCAAAAUCAAAACUGACUAUGAAUGACCAAGGGAAUGAGACAAUUUCUUUAGACAGACAGGUAAAACACUCAAGUCUUUGAUCUUGGACUGCAGAAAAAAUACUGCUCUGAUUCAAUUGUCACUUAAAUGGGUAUAAAUCAGGAAUAGCUCAUGUAAAUCUUACAUCUGUACUGCACCUUCUGGUAAGUCUCAUGGGCUCAACAGUGAUGUGAUCUAAUUUCAAAUGUCAUUGAGUAUUUAUUCAGAAUGAGUUUUACAAGAGUACUCUGGAGCACUUCUGUGUUUGAAAGGAGAAAGUAGGUUAAAAAAAGGGUAAUUUACAAGGAAAAGACAAGGCAAGAACACUCAGCGUGAGGGCCUGGUUUGAUACAUGACAAUGUUUAAUCCUUACUGUUCCUAAUCCUUCAGGCCAGGCUUGCAACACUGGAAGCUUUUCAGUUCUUACUCUGGGACUUACUGACUACUAAGAGGACAGAGCAGUCCCAGUCUCCUCAUUUAGCAUUGGCUUAAUAGGAACAAUGUAAAGGACAAGAUGCAGCAUAUGUUAAAAGUACAUGCCUGUGGGUUACAUACGUCAUGCAGCUGGAAGGUUGCUGCCUUACAGAAGUAAUAAUAUGGCCAAGAAACAACCAUUAUGAUCAGGCAUAUGGGCAGCCAAGUGAGUAAUGCUGCCAGGAGGAAUGCCUACAGUGCAGCAGUUGUGAAAUACUGAUUACAAAGUCCUGAAGUGGCUGCUUGCCCCUGAGAAGUCAUUUCUGCUGAAGCAGGAGUCUUUCCAGGCUGAUAGUUUCUAAAUGCACUUUCAGGCUUAUGCAUUUUGGAUGUCUUUAGCUGAAGCUGGUUUGUUCUUCCUAUCUAUAUCUGCAAUGCCUCCUAUCAUAACCUAUCAUUUCAGCUUAUCGUCACCUUCCUGGGAAUCUUUAGUUCCUCAACAGAGUUGACUGGAAACCUCCCCUCAUGCAUCAUUUCCUGAAGAGUUCAAUCAGCUUAGCAGGAAAGACUGAAGGCCAAAACCUACAAAUAAGAUAAGCUUUGUUAUGGUAAAAAGAACACUAAAUGUAUGUGCUGCUUUUCUUCUUUUUGAUUUUUCCCCCCCUCCUCAUGAUAUGUGAAAGGUGAGGAUGAAAUCUGCCUCUGUCAGACACUGGCUGCUGUUAAAAAUAGACAUGUCUCCAGUAAGAUGUUUUGGGGAUGGGGUUUGAUAAGGGUUUUUUAUAUUAUAGUUAAGGAUACAUUCAUGUCAAAUUGCUGGCAAUCUGAUCAAAGCUAUCACUUUGUUCUCCUACUUUUUCUUUUCUUCCUUUCCCAGUUACAUGAAUACAUGGUUGCUCAGAAAUUUUAUUCCUUAUUUUAAAUAAGCUCUUGGUACAAUAGUCCCAGAGACCCAAAAGUAAAGCAAGUUGUUAUGCAAGGGUAAACAAUGAACAUGGUAUGUUCUAUUUAUUUCAUUUAGCCAGUAUUAGAGCUUUAUCCCAAGAAUAUUUGAUUGUUGUGAGAAAAGUCAUAUUAAUAAUAUUUACGAUAAAACUGAAACCAGAACUUAAUAACAUUCAUGUUCUACAAAAUCAUGUCUGCUUCAAAACAGCCUUAGGAUUUUGACUGCAUCUCAUUCAGCACAGCCGUAUUCAUAAUUUUCUGUGGGCUCCUGAGAGUUAUUUUGUUGCCCUUGAGGGUGUUGGUGCUAGUUCUGCCUGCAGUCUGCUCAGCGCUUCACUGCCAGAAGUGUUUGUGAGUUGCAUUUAGUCAUGUAUGUGGCCUUGUGAGGUCUCCAAAAAAAAAGUGUUAAAUUUACACGACAUUCUUAUCUGUUGACAGCUACAUUUUCCUAAUCAGCAGAAGCAAGUUCAGAGUAUGUUUGUUAUUGCUGCUCCUGUUAUUUUUAAAAAUUCCUUAGGGUAAUUGUGCCAAAUGUCACUAUUUGGAGAAGGUGAAGGAGCUGAUCAAAUUAAAUUCUGAGAUUGCUUUGUCAUCAUAAAAGGGUAAAGAGUGACUGCAAAUAUUCUUCAUGAAAAACAAAUGGAGUAUCUGAGGUUUUUUCCACUGGUUUUGCUUGAGUGGAGUAAAUCUCAACUCAUGGUGGCGGGCACGAGAGAAGGGCAAGAAUCCUAGACAAGAAUCCAGGGAAAAUGUAUGCCAACACUUAUAAAUGAAAUAAUUGAGAGUUGGUUCCUCCCUGCACACUUACAGCUGGAAGUCAGUGACAAUUAGUGAUGAAAGUCACUUUUUCCCCUGGCAGAACUUUGCCUGUGUCUUUACUGACAUUUUCCUGUUGGGGUUUGUCAAGUGCCUCUUCUGGAGCACGAAUGACACUACAGCAGACAGCUGCUAAUACCUUUUACUCUGUACAAGAAAAGCUAUUCCCCUUCACCCUUGAUGUUUCAGAGUGGAGCUUUUCUAAGCUAAGUGCACAGAGUUUUAAAGAAGGGUAAAUAUGUUAGUGUGUAUAUCAUACAUACACACAUAGAUAUAUAUACGUAUUAGGGCAUGCUUAUAGUUUAUUAAUGUUCUUGUGGCUGUAAAUACUGAUGAUGUAGGAAAAUGUAACAUGACCUGGUAAAAAUAAUUUAUUAGUACAUAGUAAACUACAGGAUCCCGUUGCAACUCAGUUGUUACUUAUAAUUAACAAAAUUAAGUUUCCCAGACACAAAUGGCAACUAUUGUGGUUUAACCAUAUUUUGAGUUUUGGUUGUUUAAAAAUUUCUGUGACUAAUCUCUUUAUUAUAAGUUCAGAGUUAGCUUGAGUAAUGCAGUGUUGAGAGCAACUGAAUCUGCUCAUUUGUGCUGAUGACUCCAGACCCCCUGCACAUCUUCAGUGUGUAGCUACUGCUCUGGAGCACAGAUACUUACGAUUGUCUGGCUUUCAUUGGCAGGUAUAUAGGAAAUUAGAUGUGGUAUUUGAUGGCUCAGUUUCAUUUUGGGGGGUUUACAGUGUUGAUCUCAGCAGAGCUUAGACCAUGUGAUCAUACUGAAAUGCAGUAUUGGACAGAAUUGAGAAAUAUGCUUAUUUAGAGAUCUAACUGUCAGCACAAUAAAGAAGAAAUAUUUGCAUUAGGAAUUAUGCUGUCCUUACUCAGCAUCUUUUUGUAACUGCAUCAGUAGCCAGAACUUGCCACGCUGCUGUGUGAGCUCAUGAAUGGAUUGGCAUUGACAUAUUGAGUGUUUUUUCCAGUGUCAAAACAUUACAGUACGUUUAGAGUUGCCCCUGGCUAAAGCCAUUUUAAGUGAGAGAGAAAGAGAGUAUGAAUGUGAUUUACAGUAAAGGUCCUUUCUUCUUUGUAGAUCACUGAAGGGUGGAGGGAGAGCCUCCCCCUGCCCAUCUGUGUGAACUUGGCUAUUCUACACAGUAGCAGGAGCUGGGGUUCCCUGCAAGGUAAGCUGGUUGAAUGCACAUGUAUGUCCAUAAACAAGGGGGUAAUUGUAUGCCUAACAGAAUAAUCUCAAAGUAUCAAGAAUUGAGAUAUGUGAUAGAGGUGAAAGAUGAGAGAAAGGGAGAAUGGAGACAGAACCAUAAUAAAGUGACAACUAAGUCUCUUUUGAGUAAAGAUCUUAUGAUGAUAUGAGGCUCCCAAUGGGAGUGGUGUCACUUCAACCCUUACCUCUUCAGGAACAGAUUUCCAUUCAUAUCCCAGCAGUUGGCUCUGUUAAUGGGACAUCUCUGUAUGGAACAGCUGCAUUGGGAGGGCAGGAUAUGUCAUGUUGGUGUCAGUCUCCAUACCAGGCACAAUGCAUGAAGAAAGCCAGUUUAUGCUAGCAAAGCAAAGAGUUAAGUUCUCCUUACUAAAGAAAAACAUAAAAAUGAGGAAUCUCAAACUCUAGUACAUCUGGCACUUAUCCCUUGGUUUGGAGGAUAUCUAAAGCACCUCUCAGCUUCAGAAAAAUGAAGAGACCAAUUUAGAAUUUCUCUAAGAUGGUAUUUUUCAGUGGGCCGCUAUCCACUUCUAACCACUAUUUGGUAGAGAAGAAUGAUCUCUUUUUUGUUGAGUGCCAAGGAAGCUGUAAAAUCUCUUUCAUUCAGAAUAGUAAAAAAUAAGUGGCCACCAAGGUGAAAAUACUCUGUGGCAACUCUGUGGUUGUUGGAGAGCAUAUCUGUGUUCUGCACAUUCUGCAAAUAUAGCAGCUGAUAAGGAAGAUGCAAUAAGCUCCAUCUAUCAAGCUGUUACCUUUAACAUAAAGGUGAAGACAGCACAGUUUAAUAACUGGGAUUUUUAAAUAGCCCCAUCCUUCUAAAAAGCCACAAGACAUCAGCUGCAAUUAUUACUGGAAAUCUUGUGUUUGCACAAGAAAAGCCACAGGCCUUAAGUUUAUACUCAAAUCAUGCAAGUAUUCUGCAUCAUUUUCUGAAAGAUAACACUCUUCACUGUGAUAUAAGUAAUGUCUCCUGUGCUUGAUAGAAGCAAGAAGGCUAAACUGCUUACAGAGAUCUAUUUUUCUAAUAGCAUUUCUCCUCUAUAAACCGUCAGGCAUGUCAGUAUCACCUUCAAAACAUAAAAUAUGCAUAUGUGCUUGUGGAUUUUAUGCAUUGCUUACACAUCUUAUGCUACAACUAAUAUGUCUUAGUCAGCUUUCUAAUGUUAUGUGACCCCUCACUCUUGCAUUCCAAUGUCACCACUCUCAGACUGUUAAACAUUAACUUGAUAAUUAUUUUGAAAAACACAACCUGCCUUCAUUAACCUUUUCUAAGGACACUUGAUGUUAAAAUAUGACAUUACCUAGUUCUAAGCCAAUGUGGUGAUGCACUUAAUGCUUUAUUGCUCUUAAUGCUGUAUUACCAGAUACAAUUCACUCUUUCUUAUAGAUAAUGAAAUCAUUAUAUAUUUAUUUGGCUCUUGGGUCUAAGGUCCAGGUACUUUGAUGUUUAUUACAGAAGCUAACAAAACAUUUUGGUGGGGCAUUAAAUCCUUAAUUGCUUUCUGUUUAGAGAUGUCCAUCACUGCUGAAAAUGCUAAAAAUAUCAACAAUGAUUCCAUAUCCUCAGUGAGACUGAAGCUGGGCAGUUCCCUGUGUUUCUUGCUCAUGUUCAGGAGAGGAUUCCUCUCCCAUAGUUGUAUUUUCCUGAAUAAUUGGUCUCAGCUGUCCAGUUUGGCCUUUUAAUGAUUUCAAAUGUUUUAUGAUUUAAUAACAGAAAUUAAUUAAAUAAGCUUGAUACCAGUUUUGGCCUAGGGCUUUCUUUUCCUCACUCUGCACCAGUAGUGAAGAUAAUUGCUUUUCUAGCAGUAAUAUUCUUCCUAGGCAUCUUUUCUAAAGAGUACUGUAGAGUUCAUCACUCUGCUCUGAAUUCCUCUUAUUUGUCUAGGGAGUUUGGGUUUUGUGGGGUUUUGUUUUGUUUUCCUUAUGGUUCAUGCAAGAACUUAGUCCUAGGCUAAAGAUGUAUAAACAAGAAGGGAAAUAAUGGGGGUCUUAUCUCUCAAAGUAAUUUACUUUAGUAAUUUUUGGUGCUGAUGAAAUACCAAGCAAACUCAUUAUUUGCUCAAUUGAGGAGAGGAAGGAAGAGGCAAAGAAGAGACACCAGCUGUCAGAUGGUGAGCCUUUCCAAAAAGCUUUAGACCAAACUUUAAGGAACACUCGAUGUAGACAAGAACAGUAUUUCUCAGUAGGUGCAGUUCUUUGAUCUUUCCUGGGAUGUCCCCUAUGACAAGAGUUUGUGAGACACUGCUCUGCUGUAAGCUGUCAAAACUGGAUCUGAGCAAUGAAAUGGAGAAGGAAAAGCUGUCCUUAUUUUCCUGCUCAUCUACAUCUCUUCCUUUUUCCUGUAACUCUCAUGGUCUGGCUGAGCUGGGGUCACCAGUGAAACUUCUGUGCCUUGUCUGGAGAUGGGCAAUGCAUUGACCCUGAAAAUGACACCAGGAACAAUUAUCCAUACAAUGAUCUCCCACAGUAAAGCCCUGGAUGACAAGGUUAACUUAAAGGUCACACAGCUAUGUACAGGCAUCUGAGCUGGGUUUGCUUGUUGCAUCUGAGCCAUAUGGCACUGCAAUGCAGUACGCAGGUGGUGUUCCCUCAUUCUAGAUACAUCAGAACUCCAAAGCAGGCAUAAAAUAGAGAGGCACAUUAUCUCUGUAGAGUGCUGAUGAAACUUCUGCAGAAAUUCUGUAUCUGCUUCUGUUAGAUUUGUCUUUAACCUGCAAGGAGUACAGACCCUGAAAAAUAUAAAAUCUCGUUUGUCUCUCAGUCAUGGGCAACUACAGAAUUCCCUUACUUCCUAUCUACUUCCAAGUAUCCAGUUGAAGUAUGACAGGGACUGUGUCUAGGAGGAUCUAGAAGGAUCUUUCUUUGAAAUCAUUAGACAAAUCAGAUCCAAAUCGCACUGAUAGCUCUGUAACAUACCUAAAUCUUCCUCUUCCUUGGCUUCUUCCUCAAAGAGAACUGCCCUGAAUUAGAAUACAUAGCGCUUUGCUUAAUCUCUAAGAAUAACAUGCAGACCUGUUUUCUUUUCAGCGUAGUUGUGAGUCAUAUCUCAGGACUGGAAUGCCAGUUUCAUUGUCUGUAUGUGCCAGGAAACAAGUGACUGCAGUACACAAACAAAGGAAUUUUUAUACAUAUAAUUAUCUGAUUGUUGCUUUUACCUCCUAGUAUGUAGUGAUGGGAAAGCUUUUUUCCUCUCAUCUAUAUGCUAUAAUGUUUGCAGGUGACUCUUUUGUGAAAUGACAUGAAACUUCCAGUGAAGUUUGUAUGUGUUAUGGAUUCUACUGGAUAUAUGCACUUUUUCUGGAUGUCAUGCUCCUGGUAAGACACCAGAAUAUUAUACCUCCUCUCUUUGUUCCUCCAUUUCCCAACUCUUUCUUGUGUGACACAGUUCUAGGUAGAGUAACCCAGGCUGAUCAGGAACCAGUUGCCAACCCUCCCUGGGUAUGGCCCUUCAGAGGAGCUCCCUGGUCUUCACAGUAGUGAUGUGUGUGGCAGCAGAGCUUACUGACAGUUCUGAUCAGGUUGAAAGCUACAUUGACGACAAACAAAACACUCCAAGCAUCGUUUCAGAUACAAACCUUGCUUGGAAAACAGUUCUCAGCAAACUGAGCUCACAAAGCGCUUGAGAUUGAAAUAGUAGAAAUAAUUUCUGUGACUUCCAGUCCCAUUGCCAAGAAGGAAUCAGGCCUUCUGGGGAACUCUCCAAACUGAUCCAGAUACAGAGCUGGGCAGGCAGAGAAGGUGAAUGCUGUUGGCAGCUGGGCAGAGAGCCAGCUAGCGGUUCUCUUCCAGACUUUCAUGGCUGCACAGAGCAUAGCAUCUCCCUCUACCAUUUAGUAAAUUUAUGACAUCACCAGCUGUUACCGGGGAAACACAGAAAAUACAGAUUUGGAUCUUGGCAGCUAGGCAUAAAGAGAAAAUAUCUUGGUCUUUUGAGGGUCAAAAAGGAAACCUGAAAGAAUUCCAGAACAACUUUGAAUUGGAACAAAUCAAUAAUUCCAAACCAAACAAUUUAGCUGCUAAACUGACAGUGUGGUCCCUAUAUGAUGUCCCUCACAGAAAACAAACAUGGGAGAUCAAGUGCAGAACUUCUAACUUCAUGCAGCUUAAACAUAUCCUUUGGACAUAAGACCAUUACUGUUGACUUAAAACUUCAGUUCUGAUCAGCGGAUUUAACAAGUUGCUUUUAGGGAUGUGAUAUCCUCUGACCAAUAUUUUUUCAGAAAGUGCUGAUAAUUGCUGCUUCUUGAGAAAGAGUUUGCUGGGGUUUCACAGCAAAGAAAGUAUGUAGUGUUGAGUUUUGAUAAAAUUGUGUGCAAAUACCAUUACUGUUGUGGUGAAGUAUGUGGUUUUAAUAGCUUUUAAAAAUGUGGGCUUUGUGAGAAUGGAUGUCUUCAGAUAUGCGUUUUGUGGCUUUUAGGUGCUUGAGAUUUUUGAAGUUAUAGGAAUCAUAUUUUUGUCUUUUAGUAACAUUAGCUGACAUUUUAUUUAUGUUGCAUGUUUAAAUGAAAACACUGCUUUUUAAAUGGAUUAUUAUUUGAGUAUUGGGUAGUUGAGGCCCAGCUAAUAUUGGCUCUUGUGCAGGUUUCUUUGAUUUCAUUCAUGCUGUACAAAAUGUACAGGUUUGGUAUGUACUCAAGUUACCCAGAAACAAAUGCAUCUUUGCUGCAAAGGCAGAUGGAACAAGCUCGAGUGAGGACUCAAGCUGAACUCAGGUCUGGAAUUGUAACAGUUGCUUUGUCUCUAUUCAUACCUGCAAGGCUGUGGGCCAAACAUGACUGGAGAUCCCAGAUCAGAAAGGUAGAGGUUGUUAUACUCACUAAAUGUGUGGGAGAUCUGUAUGGAGGGUUAAAGACCUGCGGACUCACUCUAUUUGGCUGUAUCUCCACUAAGGAGCAAAAUUUUGCAGGAAAAAAAUCCCCCCUGUUGCUAAUCUAGUGUCAAAUAUAUCCAUGAUGGAGGUUCUUAGGUGGACACUUAGCAGCAUUUCUAGCAGUGUUCCACAACUCUUGUCUUAAACAGCAUAGGAACAUGUUUAAUUUGAUUUGCAUCCUCCAUACCAAAAACUAGGCAAGAUCUUCUUGCUAAACAACCAAUCUCUUUCCCCUGUUUUGUUGGUGGCCUUGGAUCCUGGAAUUUCUAUGUCACAAGAGCAGUUUGCAUACAGUUUGGAUCUUGUUAUCUGGAACAUGGUUCAGUGUUCCCUGUUGUGUCUUGUUUCAGUGGGAUAAUGACCAAGGAAGCUGCUGAGACAUGGGUGGGUUGCCAGGGAUAUGUCAUGAGAAAGCUGUCCAGAGUCAUCUGCCCACAUGCUGUGAUGCUGGCUCCCAUUUCCAAAGCAGGGUUGCAGACAGAGGAGAUCAUUAGUGCUCCAAAGAACUUAGCUAUCUAUGCAAGUUCCUUUUUUUAUCCUUUAUAGUGAGUCACUUGGAAAGGCUCCUUUUUUGGUCCUCUUUAGUUCAACUGCUGGUUCCUUUUGCUUGCAUGCCCAGUCACAGCCCUGAGACUUGUGACUGGGGCUGCAACAGCCAUUGGGCUGUCAUGGUUUAUCUCUGGAAUGGUGGAAAUAUUCUUCUUCUUCACUUGUCUUCUCUAAGGACAUGAAAGAUGUUUCUGAAGAGGAAGGAAUUUACUUCUUGGGAAAAUUCAUGUGCAACCAGGAUGGAGUUCCCCAUGCAGACUUUCAGGAGACAAAUAGGAAGAAUUAUCCACACCUGAACCUGAGAUUCACUUAUGCUACAUGUGUAUUAUCAAAUUCAACUGGAUGGGAACCCUGUCCCCUGAAGAACAUACUUGUGAAGAGCUAGAAAUCAUUAAAUCUAGUAACUGCAUUGAUGUGAGCUGGUAACACAAAUGGACACAGAUCAAUUCUCUCCAUUCCAUCUGGAUUGCACUGUGUUGGGAAAAGUGAUAAAUAAAAUUUCUGCUGUACUGGUUAUGCUUAUGAUAGAUGAAAGCCCCUCUAAAGAUGACACUUUAAUGUUCUCUUUCUUGACCUUCUGAUGUAUGUUAAGUCUUGGUUGCUGACUAAAGUAACAACACAGAUAAUUGAGCUUUUAAAGGCCCUAUUUCAUAAAUCUAAUAACAACACUGAGGGAAGCUGAGGUGUAUUCUCUUCUUACUAGUGUAUCAUUAAUAUAUCUGGUAUCACAUUUUCCAUGUAAAAUAGCUCCUAAAAAAAAAGGAUCUGGGCUGACUUUCAGGCUCCAGUGGGCUGACCAUUAGGAAGGAAAUCUUCCUGCUACCUUCAUUAGGAAGAAAAGGACGCUGCAUGAGAGACACUUCUCGAAGUAUGCCUCAGCAGCAGCCCUGUGUUGAGGGAUUUGGUGGCCUACAGCUAGUAAUACUUAGUGGUGUCCUUCAGAAAGGGGACACAAGCCAGUUUUGAGUUGCUAUGCUCCUCUAAAGGGAUUUUGCUAAAAAAGGAGAAGAAUUUAUCACCUCUUAGAAGAUAUUUUGGCUGUACUAUGCAAGCAAUUUAGUAAAAUCUCUGUAUGUGAGUAUUGGCAGUCUUUGAAACAAAAGAAGUAGGGCUGCUUUGUGUGUACUGAAGAAUUUUUGCUUUUGACUCCACUGGAGCCAUAAUUUGUCACCAGAUUCAUAUCCUGAAACCUAAAGUGCCCUUAAAAGGGCUACUGCAAAUUUAUAAAUCAUAAUCACAGUCCUUGGUUGACAUGACAACCAGUACCAUCCUGUUUAGGAUCUUGCCCUGCAAACCUGUAACCCUCUGUCUGUAGCCCACUCAGUACUCACCCAUGAGAUUGCUUUGUCCCCACCUAUUUUUACAACUUUUGUUGAUAACAAAGAGCACCUUUUUUAAAAAAGUGCUUGAAGGCAAAUUACACUCCUGAAUACUUAGUGUUUUACUGCUUGGGCUUCAAACACUCUGUAACAAGCUGAUUUGUUUAAUGUCUACAGUCCUUACUGGAAAGUUUUUAAAUUGUGUAAACAUUCCUACCAGUUUUAUGUGUUUCUAAACAUUUUUUUUUAAUGUGGGUACAAAUUUAACUUGACAGUGUACUUUCCAAGCUUCCAUUAAAUAGGGCCAACUUUUUAUUGAUAGAGGAAUAUCUCUGAAAUAGCUUUAUGAUGUCUUGCAAUGGAAGACUUUUCAUUAACUCCGACUAGAAAAAUAACCUACCAUGUAUUUGUAAGUCUUGUAUCGUAAUGUCUGUGGGACACCUGCUGGUGGAAAGGGGAAGAGAAGAGACUGAAAAACUUUAAAGUUAAUGGAGAAGGGAAUAUAUUUUCACUGUACAUUGUGUUUGCCAGCUACUGUUACCAUGCAGCCACCAAAGAUCUCAGUGUUUUGAAACUUCUCACUUACAGGUUGCAGUUUGUUGCUUUCCUCACAUAACUAUGUUUUACCUCCCUUCAAGUGUGCCAGUGCUGCUUUAAAAGAUCAGCAUAGAAAUCUUCAGCUACACCAUCUGGUUCCAGUUUUCCUUAAUUUGGUGUCAGCCAAGCUCCUACAGUCCAGAUGAUUAAAAGGGACAGAGUUAAACCUGCUGCACUUUAGGGAUUUAAGCCUUCCUUUUCCUCCUAUAAAUUCUGACCUUUCCAAAAUGAGUUUUCUUUCUUUUCUUUUCCCCUAAGAAAGUGGAACAUAAAGCAAAUGUUUGAUAUUUUUACUGGUGGAGCCAAAUUCCAUGCGUUCUGGCUGCUUUUCACGGACAGAAAAAUUAUUCCACAAUAAUUUGUCAUUAUUUCCAAAGCGAUACUGUAUGUUACUGUAACAAUAACAGCUAACUUGGCCUUUUGAGAGGUAUAUAUUUUCUCAAGAAAUUUCAGUCUAGUAGGGAAAACACUGAUCAUGAUGAUCAUGAUACAGCUUAAAGAAAGAAGUGGACGUUUGUGACUGUUUUGAAAUCUCCUGGCUGGAACAGUUUCCUGUUGAGGCACUUUGUGCUUGUGUGACAACCCAUGGAGGGGUUCUCCUGCGUGCUCUGUCUGCAGCCUUGGUCCUGAAAAGGUAAAGAGGGAGCAGGGGCAGCCUCAGUCCCCUCUGCUGAAGGGCUCCUUGGGGAAGGAAAACACUGUGCUGUGCAUAAAAAAUCGGUGUAACUGUUAUCUGAUUGUUUGCCUGAUUAUAGGACUAAACAGAGUUAGGUUGGGUACCAGUAUAUGCCAAGUAUAUUUGUCCUCUGUUCCUCGUAGUAUGACUGAGCCUUGGGAUCAGUUAUUUAGUGGGAUCAUUGGAAAGGCUUGACGAGCUGCUGAAUUCUUCCUUGUCUGGAUUCCUUUGUUUAGGUUGCCUCAAAUUAUCACUGCACGUUAUUAUCUUUAUACACAUACAACUUUUAAAUCCACAUAGAUGACACUUUUUGUGCCAAAAAUGCACUACACACUUCUCUGACCUUGCAGCUGGUUGAGCACCAAUGAAGGAAAUGAAUUUGGUAACUGAGCUGGGAGAGAAAGGUGCUUGAAGAUGCAGUUUCUAAUGCUUUCUUGUAGAUAUUCCCAUCAGACCACGUAAAGAACUUUUCCUGUUUAUAUUACGAAAGAAAUAGGAGAAUAUAAAAUUUUUAAAAUCUUUUAAAAUUAAAACCUUUGGGAGCUUAAUUAAAUGUACUGUGAGAAAUAUGUGCAGUUCACUCACAGCUAUUGACUUGAGGUUUAUGCAUUAUUGCCAAGUCCUGGAAUGAAUAAAGCUUUAAUGUUGGAA